rnacentral:rRNA from 1 species
AUUGAACGCUGGCGGCAGGCCUAACACAUGCACGUCGAACGAGUGGCGGACGGGUGAGUAAUGUCUGGGAAACUGCCUGAUGGAGGGGGAUAACUACUGGAAACGGUAGCUCAUACCGCAUACCAUCGGAUGUGCCCAGAUGGGAUUAGCUAGUAGGUGGGGUAACGGCGCACCUAGGCGACGAUCCCUAGCUGGUCUGAGAGGAUGAACAGCCACACUGGAACUUAGAGACGGUCCAGACUCCUACGGGAUGUAGCAGUGGGGAAUAUUGCACAAUGGGCUCAAGCCUGAUGCAGCCAGGCCGCGUGUAUGAAGAAGGCCUUCGGGUUGUAAAGUACUUUCAGCGGGGAGGCGUUGCCCGCAGGAGAAGCACCGGCUAACUCCGUGCGAGCAGCCGCGGUAAUUC